ensembl:lincRNA Gm29291 predicted gene 29291
GAAAAUUGACGGGAGCAUGCCAGAGGAACUCAGGAUGAAGUGAAGAGCCUGCAGUCGGGAGAUCUAGAAGCAUCGGAGCCAUAAAGAGGAUGAAAUGACAGCCGACCUCUCACGGAGUGCUGAUGACUGAAAGGAAGUGAGUUAAGACUGCCCUCUGUUUGCCACGCCCACGCCACUGGGACCAGGAACUGUGCAAGUUCUGUGUAAGUUGUACAUCUGAAGGAGACAUUUCACUUCUGGGUGCCACCGUUGCAGGUUGACAGGUACACUGGAUAAUAAUGAGGUGGAGCACUCAGAACUGAGCCACACUGUGACACAGAAGUCGUUAAUGAAGUGAAGAUGUUUAGCCAGGACUGCUGCAGAGACUCCAGAAAUAAGAGUUAUCUUCAAAGACUUGACAGCGGUCACUAGAGAAUAAAAUUAAACUUUUUACAAGAUGACAGAACUAUCUUCUUAAAGAACACGGAAACAAACUGAGUUACAUUCAGGCCUCUUGACACUAAAACCUUCUGAAACAUCAGAAGCGUCAAAAUGUUCCCCUGUGGAACUGUAAGUAUAGCUUCAUUUGGUCUCAGGUUGAGCCAUUACCUUUAAGGAGGUUCUAUUUAUUACUGCCAACUUCAGUCAUCUCUUUAAGAAACU